rfam:Lactobacillus sakei strain 23K complete genome.
UAACAGACAAUAACAAGAAUUAACAAAUUAAAUAACAUUUAAGCGAGCCAACGACUGGUGGAAGGUUGGUAAUGCUCUAUUUAGUGUGUAUCACCUUGUUGUUUUUCAGAUGAAUCAAGUAGUUUGGAACGGCCAAUGCCCGUUAACGCAUCUUAAGGAGGGUCUUUGACUCUCAAAAUUAGGUGGUACCACGAAGAUUUCGUCCUAUAC